rnacentral:rRNA from 1 species
AUUGAACGCUGGCGGCAGGCCUAACACAUGCAAGUCGAGCGGAUGGAUCGAGCUUGCUCCUGGAUUCAGCGGCGGACGGGGGAGUAAUGCCUAGGAAUCUGCCUGGGAGUGGGGGAUAACGUCCGGAAACGGGCGCUAAUACCGCAUACGACCUGAGGGAGAAAGUGGGGGAUCUUCGGACCUCACGCUAUCAGAUGAGCGUAGGUCGGUUUAGCUAGUUGGUGGGGUAAAGGCCUACCAAGGCGACGAACCGUAACUGGUCUGAGAGGAAGAUCAGUUAGACUGGAAGUGAGAAACAGUCCAGACUCUUACGGGGGGACGCGGUGCGGAAUAUUGCGCGAUGGACGAGUGCCUGAUCCAAGCAUACCGCGUGUGUGAAGAAGGUCUUCGGAUGGUAAAGCGCUGUAGGUUGGGAGGAAGGACAGUAAGUUAAUACCUGGCUGUUUUGACGUUACCAACAGAAUAAGCACCGGCUAACUUCGUG